GGAAUCGUGUCUGCGGUACUCUGUUGUUAAGGCAGCCCUGGGAAUCGGCUAUGAUUCCUAAUGGAAGAUUUUAUCACAACACCAGCUUCCGAGAAGACCCAAAAUUCAGAUGGAGGAGACGAAGGGUGAUGGGACAAAACAGCAUCGGCCUUUGAGCUUGUUAUACAGGGGCUCAGAAACAGGAGCGGACGCCGCCACAGCGGACCUCGGCACAGCACAUUCUGAACUUUUAAGCAGAUUUAUGGGUAAGUUUGUGUCUAAAGGUGUGGUGUAAGAAGUA
rnacentral:lncRNA from 1 species